GACGAACGCUGGCGGCGUGCCUAAUACAUGCAAGUUGAGCGCUGAAGGUUGGUACUUGUACCAACUGGAUGAGCAGCGAACGGGUGAGUAACGCGUGGGGAAUCUGCCUUUGAGCGGGGGACAACAUUUGGAAACGAAUGCUAAUACCGCAUAAAAACUUUAAACACAAGAUUUAAGUUUGAAAGAUGCAAUUGCAUCACUCAAAGACGAUCCCGCGUUGUAUUAGCUAGUUGGUGAGGUAAAGGCUCACCAAGGCGAUGAUACAUAGCCGACCUGAGAGGGUGAUCGGCCACAUUGGGACUGAGACACGGCCCAAACUCCUACGGGAGGCAGCAGUAGGGAAUCUUCGGCAAUGGACGAAAGUCUGACCGAGCAACGCCGCGUGAGUGAAGAAGGUUUUCGGAUCGUAAAACUCUGUUGGUAGAGAAGAACGUUGGUGAGAGUGGAAAGCUCAUCAAGUGACGGUAACUACCCAGAAAGGGACGGCUAACUACGUG
rnacentral:rRNA from 1 species